rnacentral:rRNA from 1 species
UACGGAGGGUGCAAACGUUGCUCGGAAUCAUUGGGCGUAAAGCGCACGUAGGUGGCCUGUUAAGUCGGGUGUGAAAUCCCUGGGCUCAACCCAGGAAGUGCACUCGAAACUGGCAGGCUUGAGUACGGUAGGGGCAGAGGGAAUUUCCGGUGGAGCGGUGAAAUGCGUAGAGAUCGGAAAGAACACCAACGGCGAAAGCACUCUGCUGGGCCGACACUGACACUGAGAGACGAAAGCUAGGGGAGCGAAUGGG